AGUGGCGAACGGGUGAGUAAAGUAUCGGAACGUGCCCAGUCGUGGGGGAUAACGUAGCGAAAGUUACGCUAAUACCGCAUACGAUCUAUGGAUGAAAGCGGGGGAUCGCAAGACCUCGCGCGAUUGGAGCGGCCGAUAUCAGAUUAGGUAGUUGGUGGGGUAAAGGCUCACCAAGCCGACGAUCUGUAGCUGGUCUGAGAGGACGACCAGCCACACUGGGACUGAGACACGGCCCAGACUCCUACGGGAGGCAGCAGUGGGGAAUUUUGGACAAUGGGCGCAAGCCUGAUCCAGCCAUGCCGCGUGCAGGAUGAAGGCCUUCGGGUUGUAAACUGCUUUUGUACGGAACGAAAAGGUUUGGCCUAAUAAGCUGAGCUCAUGACGGUACCGUAAGAAUAAGCACCGGCUAACUACGUGCCAGCAGCCGCGGUAAUACGUAGGGUGCGAGCGUUAAUCGGAAUUACUGGGCGUAAAGCGUGCGCAGGCGGUUAUGUAAGACAGAUGUGAAAUCCCCGGGCUCAACCUGGGAACUGCAUUAGUGACUGCAUAGCUGGAGUACGGCAGAACGGGGAUGGAAUUCCGCGUGUAGCAGUGAAAUGCGUAGAUAUGCGGAGAACACCGAUGGCGAAGGCAAUCCCCUGGGCCUGUACUGACGCUCAUGCACGAAAGGGGUGGG
rnacentral:rRNA from 1 species